CGGACGGGUGAGUAAUGUCUGGGAAACUGCCUGAUGGAGGGGGAUAACUACUGGAAACGGUAGCUAAUACCGCAUAACGUCGCAAGACCAAAGAGGGGGACCUUAGGGCCUCUUGCCAUCGGAUGUGCUCAGAUGGGAUUAGCUAGUAGGUGGGGUAACGGCUCACCUAGGCGACGAUCCCUAGCUGGUCUGAGAGGAUGACCAGCCACACUGGAACUGAGACACGGUCCAG
rnacentral:rRNA from 1 species